rnacentral:rRNA from 1 species
UGGGUAACCUGCCUGUAAGACUGGGAUAACUCCGGGAAACCGGGGCUAAUACCGGAUGGUUGUUUGAACCGCAUGGUUCAAACAUAAAAGGUGGCUUCGGCUACCACUUACAGAUGGACCCGCGGCGCAUUAGCUAGUUGGUGAGGUAACGGCUCACCAAGGCAACGAUGCGUAGCCGACCUGAGAGGGUGAUCGGCCACACUGGGACUGAGACACGGCCCAGACUCCUACGGGAGGCAGCAGUAGGGAAUCUUCCGCAAUGGACGAAAGUCUGACGGAGCAACGCCGCGUGAGUGAUGAAGGUUUUCGGAUCGUAAAGCUCUGUUGUUAGGGAAGAACAAGUACCGUUCGAAUAGGGCGGUACCUUGACGGUACCUAACCAGAAAGCCACGGCUAACUACGUGCCAGCAGCCGCGGUAAUACGUAGGUGGCAAGCGUUGUCCGGAAUUAUUGGGCGUAAAGGGCUCGCAGGCGGUUUCUUAAGUCUGAUGUGAAAGCCCCCGGCUCAACCGGGGAGGGUCAUUGGAAACUGGGGAACUUGAGUGCAGAAGAGGAGAGUGGAAUUCCACGUGUAGCGGUGAAAUGCGUAGAGAUGUGGAGGAACACCAGUGGCGAAGGCGACUCUCUGGUCUGUAACUGACGCUGAGGAGCGAAAGCGUGGGGAGCGAACAGGAUUAGAUACCCUGGUA